rnacentral:lncRNA from 1 species
ACAAAUUGCAGGCUUCAUCAUAUUGCUCAUCGAGCGCUUGGAUCCACUCGCCUUCGUCGCAAUCCCAGUCCGACAAGGUGGAACAGGCGCCGGCCAAUUCCUUGAUUCUCUAGGAAAUUCCAAAUUGGGAGCCGUAGGAGGCGUGCCGGCCGCGGGGCUGCGACGAACGGGCACCGCAAUCGUCAAGCUCAGUGCUAGCACAGAGAGGAGAAAGAAGUGGUAACUGUACCAUGUACCUUGACAAUGGUAAAGACAUCCAUUUGUGCAGCAUACCAAACUAGAUCACAAUCCAGCCCAACCCAUGAGGUGCAGAUUUACCGAUUAACAUCUCUGCACCUCACCAACCUGGCUGGGCUGGCUCAUGGACCAGGCUGAGGAAGAACAGCUGCCAAACGCACCCCCAAUGUCC